UACGAGGGGUCCAAGCGUUGUUCGGAAUUAUUGGGCGUAAAGCGGGUGUAGGUGGUUCUGUAAGUCAGAAGUGAAAGCCCUGGGCUCAACCCAGGAAGGGCUUUUGAUACUGCAGAACUUGAGUGCAGGAGAGGAUAGUAGAAUUCCUGGUGUAGUGGUGAAAUACGUAGAUAUCAGGAGGAAUACCGGUGGCGAAGGCGGCUAUCUGGCCUAGCACUGACACUCAGACCCGAAAGCGUGGGGAUCAAACAGG
rnacentral:misc_RNA from 1 species